AAAACGCUACAACGAAAUUCCUGUAAAGUUUUCGAUUUUGGUUAUUUGGAAAAGUUAUUUGCGGGCGUAUACACACAUACACAAACAAACGAAUCUGGAGUUUGGUUUGGUGUCCGACGAUAAUAUUAUGCGAUCACACGUAGGAAACAUUGUAAAAUCCUGCAGUUGCACCCUACAGUGUGCAUUAUAACGUGCCUAUAUCUACGAACGACACUCGCAGUUGAUCCUGUACGCGAAUUCUAUUACCGCGAGACUAGCCGAAAAAAAACACGGAUGGGGGCGGUAGGUCGGCUGGUACUGUUACGGAAAAUGUGUGUUUUUCUUUUGAUGAUCGCGGUAGACGCGGCGGUGACGAUAUCCCGACGGCAAAAUAAAAUAUUUGUGUGGCACUUCAAACGGAAAUUCGAAACACACCGGCUGCUGCUGCAGCUGUACCGUUAAUGGGUCGUGAUGGACAUUAUGAUAUACGGCUGAACAAUAUUUCUCGUGAUAUAGCAUAAUAUUAAAUUUCGCCUCUUAUCUCGGUAUUAUUUCUCACGUCUCCUCACUUCUUUAUUUAGUUUUCCCUACGAGGAUAUCCGAUGGGAUCGAUGAGGGUGUAUAAUAUUUCCGUAGACCGAAAAGCCAAUUAAAACCGACUGUUUCAUGGAUUUAAAUUUUCACUCCGGAGCUUCUUACUAGUAUUGGCAAUGGAAAUUUAAUUAUUUUACUGAAAAUUGCAAACAAAACUUUU